UACGGAGGGGGCUAGCGUUAUUCGGAAUUACUGGGUCGUAAAGCGCACGUAGGCGGCUUUGUAAGUUAGAGGUGAAAGCCUGGAGCUCAACUCCAGAAUUGCCUUUAAGACUGCAUCGCUUGAAUCCAGGAGAGGUGAGUGGAAUUCCGAGUGUAGAGGUGAAAUUCGUAGAUAUUCGGAAGAACACCAGUGGCGAAGGCGGCUCACUGGACUGGUAUUGACGCUGAGGUGCGAAAGCGUGGGGAGCAAACAGG
rnacentral:rRNA from 1 species